UACGGAGGGUGCGAGCGUUAAUCGGAAUUACUGGGCGUAAAGGGUGCGUAGGUGGAUUGAUAAGUUAUUGUUUAAAUUCAUGGGCUUAACCUGUGGUAGUGCAGUAAUACUGUUAAUCUAGAGUGUAGUAGAGGAUAGGGGAAUUUCUGGUGUAGCGGUGAAAUGCGUAGAUAUCAGAAGGAACACCGGUGGCGAAGGCGCCUAUCUGGGCUAAGACUGACACUGAGGCACGAGAGCUUGGGUAGCGAACAGG
rnacentral:rRNA from 1 species